rnacentral:rRNA from 1 species
UACGUAGGGGCCGAGCGUUGUCCGGAGUUAUUGGGCGUAAAGCGCGCGCAGGCGGCUUCGCGCGCCCGCCGUGAAAGCCCCCGGCUUAACCGGGGAGAGUCGGUGGGGACGGCGGAGCUUGAGGGCGGGAGAGGUCGGUGGAAUUCCCGGUGUAGUGGUGAAAUGCGUAGAGAUCGGGAGGAACACCAGUGGCGAAGGCGACUACCUGGACCAGCACUGACACUGAGGCACGAAAGCGUGGGGAGCAAACAGG